rnacentral:lncRNA from 1 species
AUGGUUGAAAUGUGAUAUGCACAUCCUGCAAGUUCAAAUAGGCGGACAUUGUACCACUGAAUCCAUAGUUUUUAUUUGGUAAGAAUGAAAACUCUGAGUUGUGAAUUAAAUAAAAAAUACUUAUAUUUGAAAUGUGAAGUUCCUAAUUCAACAACAAUCAUGAUUAUAAGGUAACUGAUCCAUAGAAACAUAUUUGUGUUAUUCACAUGGCAGCCACCGAAACAAGUAAAUGGCGUUAAGAAAAACAACCUCCACAACUUCUCAAUUUUUUUCCAGUUAACCAUACAAUGAUUCAAAAACUAACCACCAAUUAUAAUAUUUAUGAUCCUAAAAUUCCUUACGCUGCACUGACUAUACAUUGACAACCCACUAUGCAUAUUACGGGACUCCUAAAAGUAUUUUAAUAGUCAAAAUAAUAAAAUAAAGGAAUCAAAAGUACAAAAGCUGCCAUUUCUAAUCGUGGAAUCAACUUUGAACCUCAUUCAAGAGGAGAUUGGAAGAAGAAUCAAAAGAGAAAUAAUGAAAACACAAAAAUCAGUGAGCGCAAGAAGAGGACUAUAAGAGCAUUGAGGAGGAGUCAAUGUGGAAUGUAGUCCGGCAAUGAAAAUCAAAUCUGAAAGGGGGUUAUACAUCAAAAUUUUAAAUUAACAAUUAGUAAAUUUCACCUGUUUUAAACUUUAAAAAAUUACAACAUUUCAAGGGGGUUAUACCUCAAAUUUAGCAGAGAAUCGACCUUCGACGGAUUAAUUAUGAUAUAUUAAAAAGGAAAAAAUAAAAUAUAAACCCUUCAAAAAUAACAAUUGAAAGGAUAUACCUCAAUAUUCAUGUUCAACAGUUCGAAAGAUCCGAGAAUACUCUAUCCCGGUAGACGAUUGCUGCUCCAAGAGUUCAUUCAACAAAAAGCAACAUACAAGUUUAUCCCAAAUUGUGAAUCACAAAAUUGUGUUCAAAGUGUUCAUUCAACAUAAAGCAACAUACAAGUUUAUCCCAAAUUGUGAAUCACAAAAUUGUGUUCAAAGUCUGAUUAGAGAUAAGAAAAAGCAAAAUUCGUAAAAGAAAAUAUGAAGGGUAUGAAAAAGAUUGUAAGAGAUAUCUACUGCUAAUGGUAUACAAUUGCGGCUAGAACUCAUUA